rnacentral:rRNA from 1 species
GAUGAACGCUGGCGGCGUGCUUAACACAUGCAAGUCGAACGGAAAGGCCUCUGCUUGCAGGGGUACUCGAGUGGCGAACGGGUGAGUAACACGUGGGUGAUCUGCCCUGCACUUCGGGAUAAGCCUGGGAAACUGGGUCUAAUACCGGAUAGGACAAUGGUUUGGAUGCCGUUGUGGAAAGUUUUUCGGUGUGGGAUGAGCUCGCGGCCUAUCAGCUUGUUGGUGGGGUAAUGGCCUACCAAGGCGUCGACGGGUAGCCGGCCUGAGAGGGUGUACGGCCACAUUGGGACUGAGAUACGGCCCAGACUCCUACGGGAGGCAGCAGUGGGGAAUAUUGCACAAUGGGCGCAAGCCUGAUGCAGCGACGCCGCGUGGGGGAUGACGGCCGUCGGGUUGUAAACUCCUUUCGCUAGGGACGAAGCGCAAGUGACGGUACCUGGAGAAGAAGCACCGGCUAACUACGUG